UUAGUGUCCACUAGCGAAUCAGCCAACAUUAGUGAAACAUCUUGUUCAGAGCCCAGUUCUAUGUGAGGCGCAUGUCGUACAUCUGUAGGUAUUGGGGCCGGUGCUGAUGUUGUUUUCAAUAAGAAAGAUGCCUCCUCAGGCCUCCCCAGGGCGCACUGCUCUAUUAUUGUCAUUAUAUUCCCCUAAGGAGAUGCCCAACAUCAUCCCCACCUCCUGCAAUGGCACAACAUACAUAUCAGGCAGAACCAUACCCACAGAGGCUUCCAGAACCAAAUCAUUAAUCAGAUUAUUCUGUUUGGCUCAUUAGUCUAUAGCGACCUUGAGCUUAUCACUGUUAUAUCUUUAAUUUAAUAUUUCCCAUAGGCUUUCAAGUUGGCUGCUUUCUAAGUGAGGAGACCCGAGGGCUGAACAGAACCAGAACAGAAAUGAGGGCUGUACAGAACAGAACCAGGAAUAAGGCAUUGCUGUCUGAAGAGCAAUAAAUUGCCAUUGAUUGCCUGGCAGGGUUGCCAAUCAGGCAAGUGCAUGAGUAAUCAGGUUUGGAGCAACUGUGAAUCCUGUCCGUCCAACUGUCAGAACUUGAAAAAUCCAAAUAGGAUCUGGACUGAAAAGAUGCUGAAGAUGAUCCGAGGGUGGAAAUUUCAGCAAGACAAUGAUCCCAUACACACAGCCAAGAAAACUCUCAGUUGGUUUCAGAGAAAUAAAAUAAAGCUGCUACAAUGGCCCAGUCAAUCACCUGAUUUGAAUCCAAUUGAAAAUCUAUGGAAAGAACUGAAGAUCAGAGUUCAUAGAAGAGGCCCCCGGAACCUUCAAUAUUUGAAGACAAUUUGUGUGGAAGAAUGAAUGCAUGUGACUAGUUGCUCCAUACAGGAGGUGCCUUGAAACUGUCAUUACCAACAAAGGCAUUUCUACAUGUCAGUAAGCAUGUUCAAUACUUAUUCCCUGUGUCAUUGCACUUAACUACACAUACCUUAAUUUAUGGACUUGUUAGUUUUGCUUACUUUGUAUGUGUGUAAUUACUUGGGUUGUUACCAACAUCUGGUGUAAAUUUCGUUUACAACAGAUGUGUUCUUGUCUUGACCUUGACGUGUUCAGUACUUAUUUUCCCUGCUGUAUUUCAGAAAUGAAACAUUAUGAAAAACCCACAAUUGGGUAAAUAUACAUCUUUCAACUACAAACUGUCAUAGGGGAAAUAUUUGCUAAAGUGUUAAUGACAUUUUUAAAUAUCUGCUCAAAACAUCCUGCCUUUUUAUGUGUGGUAAAGGAAUUUUAAAUUUUUGAUUGGCUUCCUAGAUAUAAACUGUACCUACAAAUAGUGGGCUGGUGAGCAAGGUUAUUAAAUAUCUUAGAGUUA